GGGCCACGAUGGGCGCUAGGUUAGGACACUUUCCCUUCUCCCUGCGUCUCGCCAAAGCUUUAUGAGAAGCAGAAAAGCAAAGUUUGGCGACGUGGAGGCCUGGCGCUUUACCUGCCUGGAAGGUCACACAGCCAGGGACGCUGCUACCCGAUGGGAACUGGGUUCUGCAGGCUGCGGAGGACACAAUGACAACGCAAUGGCAAACCAAGGCCCUGGAGUGUCAUUCAGGUGUAGCGGGAUGAGACACAUCCGGUGCCGUGUGGGGCUUCGAACCUGGGUCCCCGCACAAGAUGAUACAUGCAGGCAACUCACCUGGGGUGCUAUCUCUCUGGCCAUAAAUGCUCUCAAGGGUGAAUGAGGAGCAGUGAUUCGCUCCAGAAAAUUUGUAGAGAAUGCAAGAAAAGCCGAUCGCAACCUAAUCAAUACAACGAUUGCCACCUCAACAUGCUUCACUUCAGACUGUGUCCAGAGACUUCAGGUGUGGAACGACAACCCUUCAGCUUCAUUACUCGGCAACCAGGUUCCAGAUACCAUCAGGAUGCUGGCCAGGCUUCCCUGGACUGAAGACCCCACCAAUGUGUCCUGGAGCUCCGCUUCCCCAGAGACCCACCCUACUAGGGAAAGAGAGAGGCAGACUGGGAGUAUGGACUGACCAGUCAACAUCCAUGUUCAGCGGGGAAGCAAUUACAGAAGCCAGACCUUCCAUCUUCUGCAACCCACAACGACCCUGGGUCCAUGCUCCCAGAGGGAUAGAGAAUGGGAAAGCUAUCAGGGGAGGGGAUGGGAUAUGGAGAUUGGGUGGUGGGAAUUGUGUGGAGUUGUACCCCUCUUACCCUAUGGUUUUGUCAAUUUAUCCUUUCUUAAAUAAAAAAUAAAUUA